rnacentral:lncRNA from 1 species
UAUAUAGUAGUGUGUAGCUGUUAACCCCAUACUCUAAUUUAUUUCUAGUGUGUAUUAUCUCAUUGUUUAAAAAAUUAAUAAUGUAAUAAUUAGAUUGACUUAAUUUGAUUAUUAUAUAAUUAUAUACAUUACAUAUAUGAUUAUUAUAAUAUACUUUAUAUGACCCAAGAUAUGCAAAUUGUUUCCAAUUUAACAUGUAAUCAGUAUAAAAAGUAUUGAGAUAUUUUACAUGAUUUUUUUCAAGCUAAGUCCUGUGUAUUUUAUUUAUUUAUUUUUAGUAUUUUAUUUUUUAUGUAAUUUAAAAAAUUUUUUUAAUUUUUAAAUUUUUUAUUGUUAUUUCCCCCAACACACUUCUUUUUUUCCACUGUAUAGCAUGGGGAAUAGACUUGUGGUUGCCCAGGGGGAGGGGGAGGGAGUGGGAGGGAUUGGGAGCCUAGGGUUAAGGAUGCAAACUCUUGCUUUUGGAAUGUAUUAUCAAUGAGAUCCUGCUGUGUAGCACUGAGAACUAUGUCUAUAUACUUACAACGGAGCACCACAAUGGAGAAAAAAUGUAUACAUAUAUGUGUAACUGUGUAUUUUAGACACCAGCACCUCCCAAUUCAGACUAGCCACAUUUCAAGGGCUUAGCAAGCAUAUGUGUCUAAUUUUCACCAUAUGGGCAAUGGAUUUGCUGUUUAUUUACUAAUCCUAAAAUUUUACUGUGUGUGUUGAGGAUCUUGCACACAUUAUAUGUUGUCAUCCUAGCAAUAAGUUGAGCUCUAUUCCCUUCUUUUGAUGGAGCUAAAGAACUUUCUGCAGUCAGGCCCUUCCCAAAGCCCUACCCUCUUCUAGCUGUACAGCAACACCCCCACUCCCAGAGCCCUGGACUCCCAACAUCCUACUCAGGGUCUGGUGAGAAGUAUAUGUGGAGGCAGGUAGAGGUCACCUGUGAGCAGAAGCGGUCAUGGCAUUGGGUUUGCAUUUGCAUUUCUCCAAUGAGAAAUGAUGUGAAGAAUAUUUCUUGAGCUAGUUGGUCAUUUAUAUAUCUUUUGUGUAGUCUACGUUCAAAUUUUUGACUACUUUUAAUUAGUUGAUUUCGUAUUACUGGGCUCAUAAAAGAAUUCAUAUACAUGAAUUUUAAAUAUCCACUCCCCUACCCACCCUGAGUAUUUAGCUAUAUCUUCAUUUUCAUAAUGAUGUUUCUUUUAUGAGAAAAACAUUUUGUUUUGAUGAGGUUCAGUUUAUCACUUUUAGGUUUUUAUGAUUCAUGCUUUUUUGUGUUUGCCUAGCACAAGGUGGCAAGGAUUUUCUCCUAUCUUUUCUUUUAUUCAGUGAUUUUUAUUUUUUUCCAUUGUGGUUGGUUUACAGUGUUCUGUCAGUUUUCUACCGUACAGCAAAGUGACCCAGUCGCACAUAGAUAUAUACAUUCUUUUUCUGAUAUCAUUCCAUCAUGCUCCUUCAUAAGUGACUAGAUCUAGUCCCCAGUGCUGUAAAGCAGGAUCUCAUUGUUUAUUCAUUCCAAAGGCAAUAGUUUGCAUCUAUUAACCCUUUUCUUUAAAAAAUUUUACAAGUUUUUGCAUUUAAAUCUAUGAUCCAAACAUUUAUGUGUAGCUUGAGGUAAAGGUCAAGGAUAAUUUUCUCCCAUGUGAAUAUCCAGUUGUUUGUUCCAGAAUCAUUUGUUGAAAAGACUGACUUUCCCCAUGGAAUUACUUUCAUAUUUUGUUGAAAAAUAGGGGAUCACAUAUAAGUGGGUUAAUUUCCAGCCUCUUGAUUUUUUUCCAUUGAAGUGUUUGUCUAUCCUAUGCCAAUAUCACAUUGUCUAAAUCACUGUAGUUUUAUUAGAAGGCUUGGAAUCAGAUUAAAUCCUCCAACUUCGUUUUUUGAAAAAAACUUAUUUUGGUUAUUUUAGGUUUUAUGUAUUCCUAUAAAAUUUUAAAAUUUGAGCUUGUCAAUUUCUCUUUUUAAAAAACCUACUGGGAUUUUGAUUGGAGUUGCAUUUAGUUUAUAGACCAAUUUGGGGAGGACUGACUUUAAAAACAUUGAGUUUUCUAAUUUGUGAACAUAGUAAAUCCUUCUUCUUCUACUUCUCCCUGCAGUGUUUGUGGUUUUUAAAUUCAUGUCCUGCAUAUAUUUUGUUUUUGAAGAUGUUAUAAUUGGCAUUCAAUAUUAAAGAUAUUUUCCAAAUAUCUGUUGAUAAUAGGUUAUUCUGAUAUUUUUCAAAAGCCAAAUAGUUUGCAAAUUGCCAGUAUCAAGAUAAAUUUGAAUAUUCUAUACAAGCCAGCUGCCUUGUGGUCAUCUAAUAAGCAUACCACCCUUAAGUUUCAGAAAUUAACCACACUUCUACUGUUGACAUUAUACACAGGGGAUGAAAUUAAUCUUUGUUUUAUGAUAUUUAUUUGUUUGGGCUGGUUAUUUCGAAAUUUUUGUCUAUAAAUUUUUUGAUUGUGCACCUUCUUCUAUUAGUGAAACCAUUUACACACAUCCUUAUGUAUGUAUCUUAGGAAAUUUAUUUACAAGUUAUAUACACAACAUUCUUUACUAAUUUGUCAUAUAAAUGAUAUAAAGCAUGGACAUUUGAAAAGGUCAAAAUAAAGAGUAAACCACACUUUUAAAUGUAUUAAUAGAAGUGAUGGCUUUAUAUUACUCUUAGCUAAUUUUUUAAAGCAUGAAUACAGGCAGAACAAGUUUCUUCAUUAACAAGUGUGGAUGUAAAUCCAUUGUUUAGUCUUCUUGGUUAUUUGAAUUUCUUUAGCUGACUUCUUGUCAGGUGGGAUUAGGGUGUCCUUGUCUUUAAUCUUGUAUUAUAAAUGAUGAACAGCUUGUUUUAGGAGUAUGCGACGCGUCAUCUCUGCUAUUCUUUUUGUAGUUUGCUGGCACUUGCAUUAGUAGCAGUAUUCUCAAUUUGUAAUUUAUUUCCUGGAAACUUUUUAAGCCACUUGUCCAUUUUGUAAUGUUAGGCUUGGCUAAAUCGACAUAAUUUAAUCUGUAAAUACAAUGAGCCUACUUAAACUGCAGUAAACUGGAAGCCAACAAGUGAAUGAAGGUCUGUGUAUCAGAAUUCCCUCCCUUCUUUCACAUCCGUGCCUGGGAGCUUGACAUCUGGUUACAGGACAGAGGGAGCAAGUGAUGACACCACUUCAAGCAUAUAUUGUCUUAGUUAACCUUAAUUUCUUAAUUGUUUCAAUUAAAAGUAAACAUAAGUAGAAAAUGUAAUUUCCCCCCUAUACUUCAGGGGAUCAUCUUGGAAUCCUCUGAUGUCAUUAUUAACCUCCCCUUGAGAGACCAAUCAUUUAGGCUGUGUUGCUACCGAGUCCAUGUGAUUGCAUUUGAUGUCUCUGCCAGCCAAUGUGUUUCAUGCAAAAAUUAAAUAAAAAAUAAAAAUAAGAUACAACAACAUACUCUGUUCUAUAGCUCUGUUCCAGACAGCUGAAUCAUAAUAUGUGCUAUUGGUCAUAAAAUAAGGAUGAAUUUGGAUGCUCUUUGCAAUCCUACAAGUUUAGGAAUAAUAAUAUGCAAAACAUGUGUUUCUGAGGUCAACUGAAAGUACAUUCUGUUUCUACAAAUUACUGGGAAACUUUGGUAGAGCACAAACUUAUUUAAAUUUCUUUCUUUCUUUUUGUUAUUUCCCAAAUACAAUUUUUUUUCCUACUGCACAGCAUGGUGACCCAGUUACACAUACAUAUAUACAUUCUUUUUUCUCACAUUAUCAUGCUCCGUUAUAAGUGACCAGACAUACUUCCCAGUGCUACACAGCAGGAUCUCAUUGCUAAUCCAUUCCAAAGGCAACAGUUUGCAUCUAUUAACCCCAAGCUCCCAAUCCACCCUCACUCCCUCCUCCUUGGAAACCACAAGACUAUUCUCCAAUUCCAUGACUUUCUUUUCUGUGGAAAGGUUCAUUUGUUCCAUAUAUUAGAUUCCAGAUAUAAGUGAUAUCAUAUGAUAUUUGUCUUUCUCUUUCUGACUUAUUUCACUCAGUAUGAGAGUCUCUAGUUCCAUCCAUGUUGCUGCAAAUGGCAUUAUUUUGUUCUUUUUAUGGCUGAGUAGUUUUCCAUUGUGUAUGCAUACCACAUCUUCCUAAUUCAAUCAUCUGUCAGUGGACAUUUGUAUUGUUUCCAUGACUUGGCUCUUAUGAAUAGUGUUGCAGUGCACAUGCAGGUGCAUGUGUCUUUUUCAAGGAAAGUUUUGUCCAGACUUAUGCCCAUGAGUGGGAUUGCUGAGUCAUAUGGUAGUUCUAUGUGUAGUUUUCUAAGGUACCGCCAUACUGUUCUCCAUAGUGGUUGUGCCAAUUUAUAUUCCCACCAACAGUGCAGGAGGGUUCCCUUUUCUCCACACUCUAACAUUUGUUAUUUGUGGAUUUAUUAAUGAGGGCCAUUCUGACUUGUGUGAGGUGGGAUUCAUGGUAGUUUUGAUUUGCAUUUAUCUAAUAAUCAGGGCUGUUGAGCACUUUUUCAUGUGCUUGUUGGCCAUCUGUACACCUUCCUUGGAGAAAAGUCUAUUCAGGUCUUUUGCCCAUUUUUCUAUUGGGUUAAGGGCUUUUUUGCUGUUGAGUUGUAUAAGUUGUUUGUAUAUUUUAGAGGUUAAGCCUUUGUUGGUUGCAUCAUUUGAAACUAUUUUCUCCAAUUCUGUAAGUUGUCUUUUUUUUUUUAAUGGUUUCCUUUGUUGUGCAAAAGCUUGUCAGUUUGAUUAGGUCCUACUGGUUUAUUGUUGCUUUUAUUUCUGUUGCUUUGGGAGACUGACCUGAGAAAACAUUUGUAAGGUUGAUGUCAGAGAAAUGUGUUGCUUAUGUUCUCUCCCAGGAGUUUGAUGGUGUCUUGUUUUAUAUUUAAGUCUUUCAGUCAUCUUGAGUUUAUUUUUGUGCAUGGUGUUUGGGUGCGUUCUAGUUUCGUUGAUCUGCAUGCAGUGGUCCAGGUUUGCCAGUAAUACUUGCUGAAAAGAUUGUCUUCUGUCUUUUUCACAUUUUGUGUUCUUGCCUCCUUUGUGAAAGAUUAAUUGACCAUAGGUGUCUGAGUUUAUUUCUGGGUUCUCUGUUCUGUUCCAUUGGUCUGUAUGUCUGUUUUGGUACCAGUACCACACUGUCUUGAUUAUUGUGCCUUUGUAAUAUUACCUAAAGUCUGGGAGGGUUAUGCCUUCUGCUUAGUUUUUGUUCCUCAUAUUUUAUUUUAAAAUAGAACUGGGGAAGGCAGAGCAAGAUGGCGGAGGAGUAAGAGGUCGGGCUCACCUUCUCCCACAAAUACAUCAAAAAAACCCCACAAAUCUACAUGUAAAAUGACUCGCACAGAACAUCCACUGAAUGCUGGCUGAAGAACUUAAACCUCCAAAAAAGGGCAAGAAGCUCUUGACAUAACUGGGU